UGGGGAAUUUUGGACAAUGGGCGAAAGCCUGAUCCAGCAAUGCCGCGUGUGUGAAGAAGGCCUUCGGGUUGUAAAGCACUUUUGUCCGGAAAGAAAUCCUUGGCUCUAAUACAGUCGGGGGAUGACGGUACCGGAAGAAUAAGCACCGGCUAACUACGUGCCAGCAGCCGCGGUAAUACGUAGGGUGCAAGCGUUAAUCGGAAUUACUGGGCGUAAAGCGUGCGCAGGCGGUUUGCUAAGACCGAUGUGAAAUCCCCGGGCUCAACCUGGGAACUGCAUUGGUGACUGGCAGGCUAGAGUAUGGACGAGGGAGGGGGUAAUGAUCCACGUGUAGCAGUGAAAAUGCGUAGAGAUGUGGAGGAAUACCGAUGGCGAAGGCAGCCCCCUGGGCCAAUACUGACGCUCAUGCACGAAAGCGUGGGGAGCAAACAGGAUUAGAUACCCUGGUAGUCCACGCCCUAAAACGAUGUCAACUAGUUGUUGGGGAUUCAUUUCCUUAGUAACGUAGCUAACGCGUGAAGUUGACCGCCUGGGGAGUACGGUCGCAAGAUUAAAACUUAAAUGAAUUGACGGGGUCAUAGCUGUUUCCU
rnacentral:rRNA from 1 species